rnacentral:rRNA from 1 species
GAUGAACGCUGGCGGCGUGCCUAAUACAUGCAAGUCGAACGCUUCACUUCGGUGAAGAGUGGCGAACGGGUGAGUAAUACAUAAGUAACCUGGCCUUUACAGGGGGAUAACUAUUGGAAACGAUAGCUAAGACCGCAUAGGUGUCAUAGCCGCAUGGAGAUGAUAUGAAAUAUGCUACGGCAUAGGUAGAGGAUGGACUUAUGGCGCAUUAGCUAGUUGGAGGGGUAACGGCCCACCAAGGCGACGAUGCGUAGCCGACCUGAGAGGGUGACCGGCCACACUGGGACUGAGACACGGCCCAGACUCCUACGGGAGGCAGCAGUAGGGAAUUUUCGGCAAUGGGGGAAACCCUGACCGAGCAACGCCGCGUGAAGGAAGAAGUAAUUCGUUAUGUAAACUUCUGUCAUAGAGGAAGAACGGUGCGUGUAGGGAAUGACAUGCAAGUGACGGUACUCUAUAAGAA